rnacentral:rRNA from 1 species
GACGGAGGGUGCGAACGUUGUUCGGAAUCACUGGGCAUAAAGCGCACGUAGGCGGCUAGGUCAGUCCGGUGUGAAAGCCCCCGGCUCAACCGGGGAAUGGCAUCGGAAACAGCCUGGCUCGAGGACGGUUGGGGUGAGUGGAACUCCUGGUGGAGCGGUGAAAUGCGUAGAUAUCAGGAGGAACACCAGUGGCGAAAGCGGCUCACUGGACCGUUACUGACGCUGAGGUGCGAAAGCUAGGGGAGCGAACGGG